UAUUGACUCAUAUUUGUUUGUAUAAUGCUGAAUGAAUGAGUUUCUGCAUUUUAAGUUCGAUUUGCAUGGAAUGGACUCUCCUGAGGUUAUAAAAUGAUGUUGGCACAUGUAAUAUUUGAUGAAUAAAAUGUACUGUGAACUUUGCAUUGCAAAAUCACAAGGAUAAAUCAUUUUUCCUCUUAUGUUUAUCUGUAGAUGAGAAAGAGCAGGGAGAAUAUGGAUGGAAAUUUGACUAGAGUACACAAACAAAGCACUCAAGACAAGUCUGUAGUCCAUGUGUCCUCUAAGCAGAAACGUAGUCCUUCAAUGGAGGUUGGCACAAAAGUGAUUCUGAAGUCCUCAGUAUAUCCAAACAAAAGGCAUGUGGCACAUGCUAGCAUUUUGGGUUGCAAUU